AUUGAACGCUGGCGGCAGGCCUAACACAUGCAAGUCGAGCGGUAGAGAGGUGCUUGCAUCUCUUGAGAGCGGCGGACGGGUGAGUAAUGCCUAGGAAUCUGCCUAGUGGUGGGGGAUAACGUUCGGAAACGGACGCUAAUACCGCAUACGUCCUACGGGAGAAAGCGGGGGAUCUUCGGACCUCGCGCCAUUAGAUGAGCCUAGGUCGGAUUAGCUAGUUGGUGAGGUAAUGGCUCACCAAGGCGACGAUCCGUAACUGGUCUGAGAGGAUGAUCAGUCACACUGGAACUGAGACACGGUCCAGACUCCUACGGGAGGCAGCAGUGGGGAAUAUCGGACAAUGGGCGCAAGCCUGAUCCAGCCAUGCCGCGUGCAGGAUGAAGGCCUUCGGGUUGUAAACUGCUUUUGUACGGAACGAAACGGUGAGCUCUAAUACAGUUUGCUAAUGACGGUACCGUAAGAAUAAGCACCGGCUAACUACGUG
rnacentral:rRNA from 1 species